rnacentral:rRNA from 1 species
GAUGAACGCUGGCGGCGUGCUUAACACAUGCCAGUCGAACGAAGCACCUUGAUUUGAUUCUUCGGAUGAAGAUCUUGGUGACUGAGUGGCGGACGGGUGAGUAACGCGUGGGUAACCUGCCUCAUACAGGGGGAUAGCAGUUAGAAAUGACUGCUAAUACCGCAUAAGACCACAGCACCGCAUGGUGCAGGGGUAAAAACUCCGGUGGUAUGAGAUGGACCCGCGUCUGAUUAGGUAGUUGGUGGGGUAACGGCCUACCAAGCCGACGAUCAGUAGCCGACCUGAGAGGGUGACCGGCCACAUUGGGACUGAGACACGGCCCAAACUCCUACGGGAGGCAGCAGUGGGGAAUAUUGCACAAUGGGGGAAACCCUGAUGCAGCGACGCCGCGUGAGCGAUGAAGUAUUUCGGUAUGUAAAGCUCUAUCAGCAGGGAAGAAAAUGACGGUACCUGACUAAGAAGCACCGGCUAAAUACGUG